rnacentral:rRNA from 1 species
UCUACGGGUGGCAGCAGUGAGGAAUAUUGGUCAAUGGACGAGAGUCUGAACCAGCCAAGUAGCGUGAAGGAUGACUGCCCUAUGGGUUGUAAACUUCUUUUAUAAAGGAAUAAAACGAGGCACGUGUGCCUUUUUGCAUGUACUUUAUGAAUAAGGACAGGCUAACUCCGUGCCAGCAGCCGCGGUAAUACGGAGGAUCCGAGCGUUAUCCGGAUUUAUUGGGUUUAAAGGGAGCGUAGGUGGGUUGUUAAGUCUGUUGUGAAAGUUUGCGGCUCAACCGUGGAAUUGCAAUGGAUACUGGCAUGCUUGAGUACAGUUGAGGUAGGCGGAAUUCGUGGUGUAGCGGUGAAAUGCUUAGAUAUCACGAAGAACCCCGAUUGCGAAGGCAGCUUACUAAACUGUAACUGACAUUGAUGCUCGAAAGUGUGGGUAUCAAACAGGAUUAGAUACCCGAGUAGUC